GAUGAACGUUGGCGGCGUGCCUAAUACAUGCAAGUCGAACGAAGACUGUAGUAAUACUGUCUUAGUGGCGAACGGGUGAGUAACGCGUGGGUGACCUGCCCCCGAAGUGUGGGAUAACAGUCCGAAAGGAUUGCUAAUACUGCAUAAUAUCCAAGAGAUUAGAUGCUUUUGGAUUAAAGGAGUAAUUCGCUUCGGGAGGGGCCCGCGUCCCAUCAGCUAGUUGGUAAGGUAAUGGCUUACCAAGGCGAUGACGGGUAGGGGACCUGAGAGGGUGGCCCCCCACAAUGGAACUGAAACACGGUCCAUACACCUACGGGUGGCAGCAGUAGGGAAUAUUAGUAAUGGGCGAAAGCCUGAACUAGCAACGCCGCGUGUGCGAAGAAGGCCUUCGGGUCGUAAAGCACUUUUGAGAGGAUGAGGAAGGACGGUACUCUCAGAAUAAGUCUCGGCUAACUACGUG
rnacentral:rRNA from 1 species